rnacentral:rRNA from 1 species
AUUGAACGCUGGCGGCAGGCCUAACACAUGCAAGUCGAGCGGAUGAAGGGAGCUUGCUCCUGGAUUCAGCGGCGGACGGGUGAGUAAUGCCUAGGAAUCUGCCUGGCAGUGGGGGAUAACGUCCGGAAACGGGCGCUAAUACCGCAUACGUCCUGAGGGAGAAAGUGGGGGAUCUUCGGACCUCACGCUAUCAGAUGAGCCUAGGUCGGAUUAGCUAGUUGGUGGGGUAAAGGCCUACCAAGGCGACGAUCCGUAACUGGUCUGAGAGGAUGAUCAGUCACACUGGAACUGAGACACGGUCCAGACUCCUACGGGAGGCAGCAGUGGGGAAUAUUGGACAAUGGGCGAAAGCCUGAUCCAGCCAUGCCGCGUGUGCGAAGAAGGUCUUCGGAUUGUAAAGCACUUUAAGUUGGGAGGAAGGGCAAUAAGUUAAUACCUUGCUGUUUUGACGUUACCAACAGAAUAAGCACCGGCUAACUUCGUG